UAGCAUGGGAUAAUGGAAUAGGACCCUGUCCUCCUAUUUUCAGUUGGUUUGCCGCGAGGACCAGGGUAAUGAUUAAUAGGGAUAGUUGGGGGCAUUAAUAUUUAAUUGUCAGAGGUGAAAUUCUUGGAUUUAUGAAAGAUUAACUUCUGCGAAAGCAUCUGCCAAGGAUGUUUUCAUUAAUCAAGAACGAAAGUUAGGGGAUCGAAGACGAUCAGAUACCGUCGUAGUCUUAACCAUAAACGAUGCCGACCAGCGAUUAGGAGACGUUGAAUACAAAACACCACCAUGCGCAUUGCGGUCGUCUUUGGUGUCGCUCACAAGGCGGCACCGGGGCGGCUUAGCUCGCAUGGCACCGGUGAAUGACUCC
rnacentral:rRNA from 1 species